CAGCCAUAGGUGUUGUAUUAUUUCUUUAUUGUAUUGCAUUGUUAUUUUUAUUAAAUACAUCUAUUUGGUUGUUUUAUAAUUUUGGUGGAAUAUGUUUGUAGAUAUGGAUGAUUGUGAAGUACUUGGCACAGAAUCCCUAUCAAAUGACAUAGAUUUGCAAGCAAGUCUUCCUCCACGUGCACCGUCAACAAUAGGUAAACAAAAAUCUAAUAGAUUAGCUUCAUAUGUUUGGGAUCACUUUACGCUUUUGGGAUCAAGGGAUGAUCCAGAUGUUAGGUGUAAAUGUAACUACUGUGGGGUAGAUUAUGCUUGUGGCACUAAGAAGUGUGGUAUUAGCACAUUGGGUAAUCAUUUGACAAAUCAAUGUAAGAAGUAUCCUGGUAGAUUGGUGGAUAAGUAGCAAAAAAUCCUUUCUUUUGAGAAUAAAAAAGAGGGUGGCGGGAGCAAUCUUGUUGCUAUUGGUUGAAGUAAAGAAGAGUGUAGAUUUGCAUGUGCUAAGAUGGUUGUAUUGGAUGAAUUACCUUUUAGGUUUGUUGAAGGUCAGGGUUUUAAGCUCUUUUGUAGUGUAGCAUGUCCUCAAUUUAAUGCUCCAUCUCGGAGGACUCUUGUUAGAGACAUCUAUCAAUUGUAUUUAGAUGAAAAACUGAAAUUGAGAGAUGUCUUCUCUUUUCACCGUCAAAGGGUUUCCUUCACAACUGAUACUUGG
rnacentral:lncRNA from 1 species